AGUGAACGCUGGCGGUAGGCCUAACACAUGCAAGUCGAACGGCAGCACAGUAAGAGCUUGCUCUUACGGGUGGCGAGUGGCGGACGGGUGAGGAAUACAUCGGAAUCUACUUUUUCGUGGGGGAUAACGUAGGGAAACUUACGCUAAUACCGCAUACGACCUACGGGUGAAAGCAGGGGAUCUUCGGACCUUGCGCGAUUGAAUGAGCCGAUGUCGGAUUAGCUAGUUGGCGGGGUAAAGGCCCACCAAGGCGACGAUCCGUAGCUGGUCUGAGAGGAUGAUCAGCCAAACUGGAACUGAGACACGGUCCAGACUCCUACGGGAGGCAGCAGUGGGGAAUAUUGGACAAUGGGCGGAAGCCUGAUCCAGCCAUACCGCGUGGGGGAAGAAGGCCUUCGGGUUGUAAAGCCCUUUUGUUGGGAAAGAAAAGCAGCAGGUUAAUACCCCGCUGUUCUGACGGUACCCAAAGAAUAAGCACCGGCUAACUUCGUG
rnacentral:rRNA from 1 species